rnacentral:rRNA from 1 species
CCUACGGGGUGCUGCAGUGGGGAAUAUUGCACAAUGGGGGAAACCCUGAUGCAGCGACGCCGCGUGAGUGAAGAAGUAAUUCGUUAUGUAAAGCUCUAUCAGCAGGGAAGAAAAUGACGGUACCUGAGUAAGAAGCCCCGGCUAACUACGUGCCAGCAGCCGCGGUAAUACGUAGGGGGCAAGCGUUAUCCGGAUUUACUGGGUGUAAAGGGAGCGUAGACGGCAGUGCAAGUCUGGAGUGAAAGGCGGGGGCUCAACCGGCGGGGUGCGGGGGGAAGGGGGGGGCGGGAGUGCAGGAGAGGUAAGUGGAAUUCCUAGUGUAGCGGUGAAAUGCGUAGAUAUUAGGAGGAACACCAGUGGCGAAGGCGGCUUACUGGACUGUAACUGACGUUGAGGCUCGAAAGCGUGGGGAGCAAACAGGAUUAGAUACCCUUGUAGUC